AGAGUUUGAUCMUGGCUCAGAAUGAACGCUGGCGGCGUGCAUAACACAUGCAAGUCGAACGAGAAACUCCGGGCUUGCUCGGGGGAGUAAAGUGGCGCACGGGUGAGUAACGCGUGGGUAACGUACCCCUGAAUCUGGAAUAACCCACCGAAAGGUGGACUAAUACCGGAUAUUGUUCCGGAGUCGCAUGGCUCUGGAAUGAAAGGUGACCUCUUCAUGAAAGUUGCCGUUUGGGGAGCGGCUCGCGUACCAUUAGCUAGUUGGCAGGGUAAUGGCCUACCAAGGCGACGAUGGUUAGCUGGUCUGAGAGGAUGAUCAGCCACACUGGAACUGGAACACGGUCCAGACUCCUACGGGAGGCAGCAGUGAGGAAUWUUGCGCAAUGGGGGCAACCCUGACGCAGCGACGCCGCGUGGAUGAUGAAGGCCCUUGGGUCGUAAAAUCCUGUCAGAUGGAAAGAAAUGUACAGGUGUUAAUAUCGCCUGUAUUUGACGGUACCAUCAAAGGAAGCACCGGCUAACUCCGUGCCAGCCGCCGCGGUAAUA
rnacentral:rRNA from 1 species